AGAAAUUUAGGUUAACCAUAAACCAAGAGCCUUCAAAGCCCUAAACAGGGAAUACCCCCCUAAUUUCUG
rnacentral:tRNA from 1 species